rnacentral:rRNA from 1 species
UACGGAGGAGGCAAGCGUUAUCCGGAAUUAUUGGGCGUAAAGCGUCCGCAGGUGGCACUUCAAGUCUGUCGUCAAAGCCUGGGGCUCAACCCUGGAGAGGCGGCGGAGACCACCGGGCUUGAGUCCGGUAGGGGCAGAGGGAAUUCCCGGUGGAGCGGUGAAAUGCGUAGAUAUCUGGAGGAACACCGGUGGCGAAGGCGGCAUCCUGGACCGGUAUUGACGCUGAGGCGCGAAAGCUAGGGGAGCAAACGGG